rnacentral:rRNA from 1 species
UAACCUGCCCAAGAGAUCGGGAUAACACCUGGAAACAGAUGCUAAUACCGGAUAAUAACAGAUGAUGCCUAUCAACUGUUUAAAAGAUGGUUCUGCUAUCACUCUUGGAUGGACCUGCGGUGCAUUAGCUAGUUGGUAGGGUAACGGCCUACCAAGGCGAUGAUGCAUAGCCGAGUUGAGAGACUGAUCGGCCACAUUGGGACUGAGACACGGCCCAAACUCCUACGGGAGGCAGCAGGU